GCCACGGCUAACUACGUGCCAGCAGCCGCGGUAAUACGUAGGUGGCAAGCGUUAUCCGGAAUUAUUGGGCGUAAAGGGUGCGCAGGCGGCAAUUUAAGUCCGUGGUAAAAGACUGAAGCUCAACUUCAGGUGGCCAUGGAAACUGGGUUGCUAGAGUGCAGGAGAGGGUAGUGGAAUUCCAUGUGUAGCGGUAAAAUGCGUAGAUAUAUGGAGGAACACCAGUGGCGAAAGCGGCUACCUGGCCUGUAACUGACGCUCAUGCACGAAAGCGUGGGGAGCAAAUAGGAUUAGAUACCCUAGUAGUCCACGCCGUAAACGAUGAGAACUAAGUGUUGGGGAAACUCAGUGCUGCCGUUAACGCAAUAAGUUCUCCGCCUGGGGAGUAUGCACGCA
rnacentral:rRNA from 1 species